AGGGCCUUCGACGAGUCGAGUUGUUUGGGAAUGCAGCUCCAAGUGGGUGGUAAAUUUCAUCUAAAGCUAAAUACCGGCGGGAGACCGAUAGCGCACAAGUAGAGUGAUCGAAAGAUGAAAAGCACUUUGAAAAUAGAGUCAAAAAGUACGUGAAAUUGUUGAAAGGGAAGCGCUUGAGACCAGACUCGGACCCGAGCAAACAUCGCGCCCUCCGGGGCCGUGCAAUUGCCCGGUGCCGGGCCAGCAUCAGUUGGCGUGGCGGGACAAAGGCGCGGGGAAUGUGGCUCCCCUCGGGGAGUGUUAUUAGCCCCGUGCUCAUGCCGCCGACGCCGACUGAGGACCGCGCCUCGGCUAGGAUGCUGGCUUAAUGGCCUUCAGCGACCCGUCUUGAAACACGGA
rnacentral:rRNA from 1 species